rnacentral:lncRNA from 1 species
CUUCCCAGUGGAAUGAAAACUCUCUUCCAUGUUCUCGGGGCUCAUCACGGCACCUGGCACAUAAAACCUGAAGUUAUCCUGAGAACAAACGUCACUGCCAUGGAAACACCUCCUCCACGUUCCCGAUGGUGCACUGGUUUUCUUUCCUGUCUGACCAACAAGCCUCUGGAGAGUGGCCACCAUCUUACAGGCUCACUUUGUAUUCUGUAAACUUUCAGUUGGAAAAUAAACACA